UACGAAGGGUGCAAGCGUUAAUCGGAAUUACUGGGCGUAAAGCGUGCGUAGGCGGUUUCUUAAGUCUGCUGUGAAAGCCCUGGGCUCAACCUGGGAAUGGCGGUGGAUACUGAGAAGCUGGAGUACGGUAGAGGAAGGUGGAAUUCCCGGUGUGGCGGUGAAAUGCGUAGAGAUCGGGAGGAACAUCAGUGGCGAAGGCGGCCUUCUGGACCAGUACUGACGCUGAGGCACGAAAGCGUGGGGAGCAAACAGG
rnacentral:rRNA from 1 species